rnacentral:lncRNA from 1 species
UGGAACCAAACAAUGUGAUAAUAAUAACAACAAUAAUAGCUUUAAGCAGAAAAUGGAGGAAAAGGUUUCAAAAGUUGUUACUAAAUGUCAAAGUCCUUCUUCAACUUUGGACUACAAUAACAGUCUUGGAGUUUUCAAUGGAAUCUCCUAUCCAACAGACAUAGUUCUAAAAGAUAAAUUUACAGACAACAUAGAACCUGUUUUACCGAAAUUCAUCUAUUCAGAACCAACAAAAGAAGGAUUCUUGUUUAAAAACAAAGCUUAUGAUGAAUCAGUAAACAACCAUUGACCGUUUUUUAAACAUGACAACAAGUCCGAGAAAGCCUCUACUUCCGAGGAUAUUAAAAACAGUACAGUUGGGAACAUUCUUUUUCCUCGUGUGAACAACAUAAGCAAAGAACGUAACCGGCUUUCAUAUUACGGCAAUCCUCAUGUGGGAAAUCUUACACUAGUCUCUGCAGAUAAGAGUUCGAGUUCCAUUUGCCUAUCCAAACAAUCUUCAAGCAUUGACUACCCACCGUCGCUCAAACCAAGCCCAAAAAAACCGCUGCAGCAAAUAAGCCGCUUUCUCAUCCCACUUUCGCUGAGAUGAUAACUGAAGCAAUCACAAACCUGAAAGAAAGAACCGGUUCAAGCCAAUAUGCUGAAACAAAAUUCAUCAAAGAGAAACACGAGGACUCACCUCCAACUUACCGUAAGCUUGUCAAGUUUACCUAUCAGAAGGUAUUGUUUCACUAUGGAGAGAUAACACUGCAAACGUCAUCCGUUACUUCCCCGCUCAGGCUUUGAAUUUUGCAUUCGAGGACUACUUCAAGAGGCUUUUCGAUUUCAAUAAGGACAAAGAUGGUUACUGGAAGUGGUUGGCUGGUGACUUGGCCUCAGGAGCACGAAUCUAAACCGUAGCCACCAAUAUUCAUCGCUGAAGCAUCAACCGCCUGCAUUACCGUCCAAGUCAAACAAUCUGCACAUAAAGAGAGAAAAAGCAAAAGACGACUUCACUUUGAAGAAUCUGCAACUUUCAAGAAGAGGAUAACAUAAUUCGAUCUCCAAUUUCUCAACCGACGGAACCGGAAGCUCCACACCAGCAUAACCUGCACGAAGGAGGAAACUCAGAGGGUCAUCAAAAGACUCAAUGUUUAAUCCAAAAGUUUCAAAUUCAGUUCCAGAAUUAUUUGAUACUAACCUUGUACUGUUCAUUAGUCGGCGCCGGUGUUAAUCUCCAAUACAAUCCGCCUCAAACCAUGGGGAAGAAGCAAAAUGGGUUUAGAAGGCCUGUUAUCAUAAAAAACAAGAGGAAUCAUCAGCAGGUCGUAACUACUGGACCAUCAAGCCAUGCACAUAACAUCUAUUGAGCUAACAUCUAACUGCAUCAAAACCAACAAGCAGUAGGCCCAUUGUAGCAGGGACAUGGCAUAUGCUAGCAGACAACUUACCAAAACCAGGCUCCAACUAAUUGAACCUAACAACCUUGCUAACUUUGUCAUCCAAACUAACAGUAGCAGCUCAUUACACCAACAAAGCUAACAGUCCUAAUUGCAACAUAACAACAAACCAAUGUUAAUGGAUAAACCUGUUGAAGCCAAGAGAAGUCCAUGUGAGGUCUCCAACUCA